UACGUAGGGCGCAAGCGUUUGUCCGGAAUUAUUGGGCGUAAAGAGCUCGUAGGCGGUUUGUCGCGUCUGCUGUGAAAACCUAAGGCUCAACCUUGGGCUUGCAGUGGGUACGGGCAGACUAGAGUGCGGUAGGGGUGACUGGAAUUCCUGGUGUAGCGGUGGAAUGCGCAGAUAUCAGGAGGAACACCGAUGGCGAAGGCAGCUCGCUGGGACGGUACUGACGCUGGAGGCGCGAAAGCGUGGGGAGCAAACAGG
rnacentral:rRNA from 1 species